UGUUGGUAAUUUUUCCUUUAACUUUAACGAUGGCAUAAUGGAAUAAAGUGAUUCACAUUUUUAUCUGGGUAACCAGUUUUGCAGGAUUAUUUUACACGAAUUGCAAAUUCAAUUUUCAGCAUAGUAUUUCAUCAGCAGCGUGAAGUAGCAUCUCCAAAAUGUUUAAACUGUUGGUUGUCAUUUUUGCUGCCAUCUUGGCUGUGGCUGUUGCAGCUCCCAAACCAGGAUUAGUUAAUCCAAUUUUGGCAUCGCCUGUAUAUUCAUCAUACUCUGCUCCUUUGGCCUACUCUGGAUAUUCGGCUCCUGUCUAUUCAGCUCCAUUGACUUACUCUUCAGGUUACAACUAUGGAUAUGGAUACUCUCCUCUUGCUUAUUAUUGAAUACCGAUAAUAAAUGAUUA